rnacentral:rRNA from 1 species
GACGAACGCUGGCGGCGUGCUUAACACAUGCAAGUCGAACGGCAAGGCCCUGCUUUUUUGGAGUGCUCGAGUGGCGAACGGGUGAGUAACACGUGCGUAUCCUGCCCUUGACUUUGGGAUCACUUCAGGAAGCUGGGGCUCAUACCGGAAAGGAGCGCCGGCUGCAUGGUGGGGGUUGGAAAGUUUCGGCGGUUGGGGAUGGACUCGCGGCUUAUCAGCUUGUUGGUGGGGUAGUGGCUUACCAAGGCUUUGACGGGUAGCCGGCCUGAGAGGGUGACCGGCCACAGGGGGACUGAGCUACGGCACAGACUACUACGGGAGGCAGCAGUGGGGACGAUUGCACGAUGGGCGGAAGCAGGAUGCAGCAACGCGGCGUGCGGGAUGACGGCCUUCGGGUUGUAAACCGCUUUCGCCUGUGACGAAGCGUGAGUGACGGUAAUGGGUAAAGAAGCACCGGCUAACUACGUG